UAGUAACUGGCGAGUGAAGUGGCAAAAGCUCAAAUUUGAAAUCUGGCGCCUUUGGUGUCCGAGUUGUAAUUUGAAGAAGGUAACUUUGAGAUUGGCCCUUGCAUAAGUUCCUUGGAACAGGACGUCAUAGAGGGUGAGAAUCCCGUUUAUGGUGAGGUGCCCAAUUUCUUGUAAAGUGCUUUCGAAGAGUCGAGUUGUUUGGGAAUGCAGCUCUGAGUGGGUGGUAAAUUCCAUCUAAGGCUAAAUAUUGGCGAGAGACCGAUAGCGAACAAGUACAGUGAUGGAAAGAUGAAAAGAACUUUGAAAAGAGAGUGAAAAAGUACGUGAAAUUGUUGAAAGGGAAGGGCAUAAGAUCAGACUUGGUAUUCAGUGAUCAACUUUCUUUCGGGAUUGUGCACUCGCUGUUUACUGGGCCAAUAUCAGUUUUGGUGGUAGGAUAAUGAUUUAGGAAUGUGGCUCCUCGGAGUGUUAUAGCCUAGGUUGAUACUACCUACCGGGACUGAAGACAGCGCUUUUGCUAGGAUAUUGGCGUAAUGAUCUUAUGCCACCCGUCUUGAAACACGGACCAAGGAGUCUAACGUCUAUGCUAGUGUUUGGGUGUAAAACCCGUACGCGUAAUGAAAGUGAACGUAUGUGAGAGCCCCUUGGGGUGCAUCAUCGACCGAUCCUGAUGUCUUCGGAUGGAUUUGAGUAUGAGCAUAGCUGUUGGGACCCGAAAGAUGGUGAACUAUGCCUGAAUAGGGUGAAGCCAGAGGAAACUCUGGUGGACGCUCGUAGCGGUUCUGACGUGCAAAUCGAUCGUCAAAUUUGGGUAUAGGGGCGAAAGACUAAUCGAAGCAUCUAGUAGCU
rnacentral:rRNA from 1 species